ACUCGUGAACGAGAGCAGCACUAUGGGCUUUGGGUGACCCGCACCGGGCCGGGCGGGGACAGCGCCCUGAGGGCUCAGCCCGGUCCCGGAACUCACCUGUGCGCCUUCCUCUGCCCCCGCCAGCGCUGCCGCGGCUCUUUCCGCUCCUCCGCCGGGCCGCCGAGCUGCGCCCCGUCCCCAGGGAGUGGGGGAGCCGUGAGGGGCGAGGGCGCCCGCGCAUACGGGGCAGUCGUCGCUCUCCUCCUCACCGCCUCCCUGCCCCGGCCUCCCCGGCUCCUCAUCCCCGCUACGAGACACCCCCGGCUUCCUCGUCCUCCCCCUCCCGCUGCCCAACACCUGCCUCCCCUCAGCCGCGUCGGCGCCGGACCGCGUCUCCCUCCAACCCUGCCCGCCCGUCCCUCACUCGCUGCCCCCGGCCGGUCCCCCCGCCACCGCCAUCUUUUCCGGGAGGGGAGAGGGGCGCGCACGCGCGGCCACGGCGAACGGCCUGCAGCGGCGGCCGCGCGCAGGGCGCGGGGACGCGCCUCACCCCACCCCGGGAUCGCGCACCUGAGGGGGCACGGUGGGCCCGACCCUCAGAUGGAGUGGGUUAGUCGAGAGAUCCUGCUAGAGUCUGUCACAGGAAGCUGUCAAACCACAAGUGUUUAAGUAAACACAGGAUUUGCCUGUGUGCCUGCUGGGGAAUUCACUGAAUGAGGG
rnacentral:lncRNA from 1 species